UCCUCAUCCAGCACCGCCACGUGCCUUGCCUCCUCCAUGUAGCAUGCAUUGGUGCCAGUGUCUGGCAUGGAUGACUCAGUCAGGACCUGCCCAUCAGCCUUCGUUCACAGUGUCCCUCAAGUCUGGAAGUACAGUGUCUGAGUCAUUUGCGUCUUCAUGAAACCCAGUACAAGAUUUGGCAUAGGUCGUUGCUUCUGCCACUCAACAUCCUCUCAUAUUUGGAGUCUGCAAAUACACUGAAGACAGACCACAUCUCUGUUCUGCACUAAAAGCUCCUGGGCAAUGUGGUCAAGAAUGUGCACUACUCUACUAAUAUACUGAAACAGAAGUUA